rnacentral:rRNA from 1 species
ACGGAAGGCAGCAGUGGGGAAUAUUGCACAAUGGGGGAAACCCUGAUGCAGCGACGCCGCGUGAAGGAAGAAGUAUCUCGGUAUGUAAACUUCUAUCAGCAGGGAAGAAAAUGACGGUACCUGACUAAGAAGCCCCGGCUAACUACGUGCCAGCAGCCGCGGUAAUACGUAGGGGGCAAGCGUUAUCCGGAUUUACUGGGUGUAAAGGGAGCGCAGGCGGUACGGCAAGUCUGAUGUGAAAGCCCGGGGCUCAACCCCGGUACUGCAUUGGAAACUGUCGAACUAGAGUGUCGGAGGGGUAAGCGGAAUUCCUAGUGUAGCGGUGAAAUGCGUAGAUAUUAGGAGGAACACCAGUGGCGAAGGCGGCUUACUGGACGAUAACUGACGCUGAGGCUCGAAAGCGUGGGGAGCAAACAGGAUUAGAUACCCUGGUA